AUUUGUUUUAGCAAUUGUUUAUUUGUAUUAUUAAAGGGUAUAGCACUGAAUAUCUAAGUUUUCUGUAGAGGGAAUACUAAGGUAUUUAUCUCAGAUAUUUAAUCUCAGAAUAAUUAAUAAUGAAGGUAAAUAAUCGGACUUUUUGCGAUAAGGUGGAAAGUCAAAAGGGAAACAGCCCAGAAUAGUAUAUAAAGCUCCCCAAUUAUUAUUAAGUGAAAUAAAAGAAGUGGUUAUUUUUUGACAGUCAGGAAGUGGGCUUGGAAACAGCCAUCA
rnacentral:rRNA from 1 species